UUUGAGGUCUAUCCCGAUGGACCCCUCUCUGUAGGGUCUUAUCGUUGGAAACGCCUCAAAAAUAAAAUUUGUGGUAUCGCUUUACCCUCAUGGUUGUUGCAAUCAACCUUGUGGGCCAAAAAACUACAAUACAAAG